rnacentral:lncRNA from 9 species
CGUCGUGUCCUGUGCGUUAGUACCUGCCGAGUUCCCGCCCAUUCCGGCCUGGCUGGACCCCGGGCCCUUUCCCGUCGGGGGUCGUGAGGCUGCGCCGAGAACGUUUCCCCGAGGGCCUGUCGCGCAUUUCUGCCGGGAGAAAACUAAUCCGGGCCGCUGGGGGAGCUGCCCACGUCAGGACCAUACUUCACCCUCUGUGCCAACAAACCUAAGACUGUCACUUCCUGGCAGCUGUGGCUUCUCCAGAAAGAGCAGAGCAUCUUCGUCCCCAGAGGGCCCCUCUGACGUUUUCACGCCUCCACCGCAGGUAACUUCCACUCACUGACUUCUACACGUCCUCCUGGUCACUCGUAUCCAGAUUUCUGCUGUUACCAAUGCUAUUGAGUUGGUCAAACUACAUUUUCUAAAAAUAAAAUGAAACAAAGC